GCUUCGGUCAGGCAGUAUCUUUGAAAAUAAUUUGGCCAAUGAAAGCCCUGGCAUUGGAUGAAAGUGCUAGCUGCUGGGAAUGCUACCCCUCCUUUUGGUUCUCUUUCAAGUCCUUCAGGUUCAAACAAUACAGAAGUGUAUAAAGUAAGAAUUGAAAGUCUCUUCGCUGCUCUAAUCUCACUCCUCAGAGGUGAUCACUGAUUAUCAUCCCAGAGCCCUCCCUGAAGCCCACACACAGCUUCUUCAGGAAAUGCUGACAGCAUGGACCUGAGUGAGCAGAAGGCUUUUCAGAAUUACAGCCUGAACUAUUUCUUGAGCAAUUUGGGAACUCAUUUCUAAAGCAGUCCUCAGAUUCACACAACGUAGUUUGUGACGGAGUAUGCCCAGAGCAGUGUGGAAGAUGAUCAAAGUAUGACAUUUCUUCUACCCCAGAGGCUGGCAUUUCUGCAGGCACAAAUGAGCUUGGUUUUCAAGCACUGCUCUUUGAACACAAGGAAUUCCUUUAAUGAUCACGCCGGACUAUAUAGACUUUGGAAUCAGACUCUUUGAAUUCCAGCUCUGCCAUUUACCAACUUUGACACUUUGGACAACGUCUCAUUCUGUCACCCAGGCUGGAGUGCAGUGGCACAAUUAUAGCUCACUGCAGCCUCAAACACCUGGGCUCAAGCAAUCCUUCCACCUCUGCCUCCUGAGUAAUUGGGACUACAGGCAUGUGCCACCACACCCAGCUAAUUUUUAAUUUUUAAUUUUUUUGUAGAGAUGGCGGUCUUGCUAUGUCACCCAGGCUGGUCUUGAACACCUGGCCUCAAGUGAUCCUCCGGCCUUGGUCUCUCAAAGCUCUGGGAUUACAGACAUGAGCCACUGCACCCGGCUCUAUCUCCCCUUCCUAUGUGUGUUAGCUCUAGAACAAGAGAAGCCUUGUUGAGAUUCCUGGCUGCCCACCCCCCAUCACCUCUCUGACUUUGGGCAAGUUGCCUGGCCUCUCUCAGCCUUUAUUUUCUUUUUGUGAAAUGGGGAUAAUAAUAGUACUUGCCUCAUAGGCAAAAUGUUGUGAGAACUAAACGAGAAAAUGCAUGUAAAGCACUUGGCACUUAGUUCUUUUUAUGAUUAUAAUGAUAAUCAGACACAAUAAAUUAUGUCUCACAUCACAUGCUGUUUAGCCUAUUCACUGUUCUAUUUUUCCUGAAGUCAGUUCAGUGUGUAGCAUCCAGAAUUGAACAAAACACCCCCGAUGUGACCUGAUAGUGCAAAGUAAACUAUCAUCUCCUUCAUUCUAGGUAUUAUGUUUCUAUUAAUGCAGUCUAAAGGGUUUUGGAAAUCUGGAUUGUAGCAGGGCAUUGUGGAUCUGCCUGUUGGUGGAGAACCCUAGACUGCAUGCAGCCAUGCACAUGAUCUGGAGACACAGCAGAGACAAGGUCUUUGUCUGUUGCUCAGGAUGGAGUGUAGUGGUGCCAUAGCACACUGUAAUCUUGAAUUUCUGGACUACUGGCAUACACCACCAUGCUUAGGUUCGGGCCACAACAUCCGUGACUUUACCGGUUUUGGUCUCUUCCUUGUAACUUUCGGCUCCAGGAUGCUGCGCAGCUCCUCUCUGCACUAUCUAUCAGAACGUUGCUCUGCGUGCUUGAAAGUUUCGCCAAACAGAAGUACACAAAAACAAACAGAGGCGAAACACAAAUCCCCUCAGCCCUGGAGGAAAAGGCCUUGAAGCUCUUCCAGUGCAGAGGCCACGCAGAGGACAUGCUCCUACCUGUGCACAUCGGCCACGCCUGGGGUGCCUCCUGGAGUCCAGGCUGCUGGCGAUGGAAUCCAUCAUGUUGCUGAUGUCACUGUAAGUCGCAGCCCGCAGGCUGAGCUAUGGGGCAGUUUGAGGGGCCAGAAGUUUUCUCCUGGAUGUCAUCUUCAGCAUACCCAGGAACCAGAGAAAAUGUAAUUCUUCCCAUGCCCAUCUCACUCCUGCAGACUGGGGUCCCUCUUCAGUUUCUUUUUUUUUUUUUAAUCAUAAGCACAUAGGCUCUGGGACAUCAUGGAACCCAGAAGCAUGCUGAAAGGUGAAGCACAAGUCUAAAGUCUUGUUAGUUAUGAAAUCCAGCUCUCCUGGAUUAGGCAAGGGGAAAACCACAUAUUUAAGAUAUACUAGGGCA
rnacentral:lncRNA from 10 species